AGCGAACGCUGGCGGCAGGCCUAACACAUGCAAGUCGAACGACCUCUUCGGAGUUGGUGGCGGUCGGGUGAGUCACACGUGGGACCGUGCCGUUUUGCACGGAAUACCUCAGGGACACUUGAGCUAAUACCGUAUGUGCCCUUCGGGGGACAGAUUUAUCGUCAUUGGAGCGGCCCGCGUUUGUUUAGCCAGUUGGGGAUGAAAAGGCCCACCACGGCUACGAUCCGUAGCUGGGCUGAGAGGAUCAGCAGCCACAUUUGGACUGAGACGCGGUCGGAAAUCCUACGGGAUGCAGCAGUGGGGAAUCUUGCGCAAUCGGCGGAAGCCAGACGCAGCCAGGCCGCGUGAAUGAUGAAGGUCUUAGGAUUGUAAAAUUCUUUCACCGGGGACUAUAAUGACGGUACCCGGAGAAGAAGCCCCGGCUAACUUCGUG
rnacentral:rRNA from 1 species